rnacentral:rRNA from 1 species
CCCCUAGAUGUUCUGGGCCGCACGCGCGCUACACUGAACAGUUCAACAAGUCUUAACCUUGGCCGAUAGGUCUGGGUAAUCUUUGAACGCUGUUCGUGAUUGGGAUAGACCUUUGCAAUUAUGGGUCUUCAACGAGGAAUUCCUAGUAAACGCAAGUCAUCAGCUUGCAUUGAUUACGUCCCUGCCCUUUGUACACACCGCCCGUCGCUACUACCGAUUGAAUGGCUUAGUGAGUUGUUCGGAUUGUGUUUGUCUGUUGGGUUUCCUUCAGGCAUUCUGCGAGAAGAACUGCAAACUUGGUCAUUUAGAGGAAGUAAAAGUCGUAACA